rnacentral:lncRNA from 1 species
AUCAAUCUGGACAGUCUACUGGUGCGGCCUAUGGCAACAGGGUAUCUGCUGGAUCAGGUGCCGCUUCUGGUGAUUGCUAUAAAUGCCAUCAACCUGGACAUUGGGCAAGGGACUGUCCGGGUAUGGGUGCAGCAGCACAUUCAGAUCAGCCGAUGCAGCGCCCAUCCGCUGGAUCAGGUGCGGCUUCCGGAGAAUGCUAUAAAUGCCAUCAAACUGGACAUUGGGCAAGAGACUGUCCUGGCAUCAGUGCAGCACCUCCUUCUUAUGGAGGCAAUAAUGUAAUGCAAGGAAGAUAUGGUAAUGGUAUAGCUCAAAAUCAACAGUAUGGAGGAUACUGAAAUUUGGCAAAAUGCCACUUUUUGGAUUGAGUUUGUCGUGUUUCAUUUUGGUAUGUUUUAAAAAUUGUCUUUACGGUCAACUAUGUAAAUAUAGACGGCAUAAUUAUGUGGUAGUUGUAUUGAUGUGGCAUUUCUCAAUGCCAACGUGGUGCAAAACUACAACUUUAUCUUUUAAUGUGAACUCUUCUGUGUCUUUUCCCAAUAGCGGAUGCAGUUGAUCAAAAUAGAGAUGCAUAGUUUAACUGCUUGCACGUUCAUCAGUUCAGACGAUUUGUUAAUACGUGUCUUCAGAGUGUCUGUUAGUAAGAUUAUGAAAAAUGUUAACUAGUUACUAACAAGUGCCAGCGAGAUAUUGAUUAAGGAAACAAGAGGUACAUUUCUAUAGAAAAAUGAUGUAUUUAUUAGGAUAAUUAACAAGUAUUUGACCUGUAUUUUUAAAACAUUUUUCUUCUCCGAGUUUUAAACAAAUGUUCUUUAAACAUUAGUAACAAGAAUUUAAAAUACGAAUACCAAAGAUACACUUGACUACACAUUCUUAUAGUGACUGACUUGUCAACUUGAGUCUCACUCUCACUAUUGUCAUGUGUUGGGGGAGCUCGUGUCUUGGCCAUAUGCAAUUGGGAGUUGCUGAAGUGCCCUUAACUUCUCGUUGUUUUGUUGGAAGUUGGGUUCCAAUAGUUAGAAAUUACUGUAAUUAAUGGUUUUUGGAAUGAAUAGUGUUAUCCGAUGUUUCAACUCUGUAGUAUUUUUUAUACAUGUAAUAAAUAUGGGGAUAAACGAACAAUCACUUAUGCAAUUUGAUAUUUAUGCUCGUUAGAGAGUAGGAGGGAAGAAGAGAGGAUAGUAUUACAUCUUGAAUAGAGAGUUUAAUUUGUGGAUGAGCCAUUUCAUUCGUUAAUUGACCAUGUUAGAGACACUUGUUUGUAUUGUCUAGUUUUGUAUUUUUUUUUUAUAUAAUUUUAUUAAUAAAAAAAUUCGUCUCUUUGAGUUGAUUUCUGGAUUCUUCCAUGAUCACGGUGGUUAACAAUUUUUUUUAUUAAUAAAAAAAAAAAAGCACGUUGCCUCUGACAUAAAAAGAAAAUAAAUAGAGGCACGUGCAAUUGACUCAUCUCUUUUAAGCUGUGUUUGCGGCACACGUGCAUGUGGCAACCACACGUCUUCGCAGUUCUUCUCUUGUCCCGGUACUCUCUCUCUCUCUCUCUCUCUCUCUCUCUCUCUCUCUCAUGUAGCAACUGUGGAGCCUCUGGCCAUAGCUCUGCGCAAUGCCUAAAUCUUAGAAAUCAAUCUGGACAGUCUACUGGUGCGGCCUAUGGCAACAGGGUAUCUGCUGGAUCAGGUGCCGCUUCUGGUGAUUGCUAUAAAUGCCAUCAACCUGGACAUUGGGCAAGGGACUGUCCGGGUAUGGGUGCAGCAGCACAUUCAGAUCAGCCGAUGCAGCGCCCAUCCGCUGGAUCAGGUGCGGCUUCCGGAG